rnacentral:rRNA from 1 species
UACGUAGGGUGCGAGCGUUGUCCGGAUUUAUUGGGCGUAAAGCGCUCGUAGGCGGCUUAGAAAGUCAGGUGUGAAAACUGCAGGCUCAACCUGGAGACGCCACUUGAUACUUCUAUGGCUAGAGUUCGGUAGGGGACCAUGGAAUUCCUGGUGUAGCGGUGAAAUGCGCAGAUAUCAGGAGGAACACCGAUGGCGAAGGCAGUGGUCUGGGCCGAUACUGACGCUGAGGAGCGAAAGCGUGGGGAGCGAACAGG